rnacentral:rRNA from 1 species
UACGAAGGGGGCUAGCGUUGCUCGGAAUCACUGGGCGUAAAGCGCACGUAGGCGGAUUGCUAAGUCAGGGGUGAAAUCCUGGAGCUCAAACUCCAGAACUGCCUUUGAUACUGGCGACCUUGAGUCCGGGAGAGGUGAGUGGAACUGCGAGUGUAGAGGUGAAAAUUCGUAGAUAUUCGCAAGAACACCAGUGGCGAAGGCG